rnacentral:rRNA from 1 species
UACGGGGGGAGCAAGCGUUGUCCGGAUUUAUUGGGCGUAAAGAGCGUGUAGGCGGCCAGACAGGUCCGUUGUGAAAACUCGAGGCUCAACCUCGAGACGCCGAUGGAAACCGUCUGGCUAGAGUCCGGAAGAGGAGAGUGGAAUUCCUGGUGUAGCGGUGAAAUGCGCAGAUAUCAGGAAGAACACCCGUGGCGAAGGCGGUUCUCUGGGACGGUACUGACGCUGAGACGCGAAAGCGUGGGGAGCGAACAGG